rnacentral:rRNA from 1 species
UGGUGGAUUGAUUUGUCUGGUUGAUUCCGAUAACGAACGAGACCAAAGUACGGUAAAUAGGAGAAAGGGGGGCUUGAAUGGGAGAAAAAUAUGUUGUAUUUGGUGUAUUACAUUAAAUCGAUGUAUGGAUUUCCUUGGUCUUUUUCGGUGGAUGAUUUUGUUUCUUCGGAGAUGAAUUUGUUCACUAACCUCUUUAAAGAUGGAAUUGGAUUUCGGUUUGAUUUCAGAACUCCUUCUUACAUAGACUUUU